UUUGAUCCUGGCUCAGGACGAACGCUGGCGGCGUGCCUAACACAUGCAAGUCGAACGGACUGUUAUCCUUCGGGACAACAGUUAGUGGCGAACGGGUGAGUAACGCGUGGGUAACCUGCCCUUAUAACGGGGAUAACUUGCCGAAAGGUGAGCUAAUACCGGAUGAUCUAUUAAGGUUGCAUGAUCGUUGAUAGCAAAGGUGGCCUCUAUGCUACCGUAUAAGGAUGGACCCGCGUCUGAUUAGCUAGUUGGUGGGGUAACGGCCUACCAAGGCGACGAUCAGUAGCCGGCCUGAGAGGGUGAACGGCCACACUGGGACUGAGACACGGCCCAGACUCCUACGGGAGGCAGCAGUGGGGAAUCUUCCGCAAUGGACGAAAGUCUGACGGAGCAACGCCGCGUGAUGAAGGUCUUCGGAUUGUAAAACUCUGUUUUUUGGGACGAACGGCUCAUAUGUGAAUCCUGUAUGGGAUUGACGGUACCAAAGGAGGAAGCCCCGCGUAACUACGUGCCAGCAGCCGCGGUAAUACGUAGGGGGCGAGCGUUGUCCGGAAUUAUUGGGCGUAAAGAGCGCGCAGGCGGUUUGAUAAGUCUACCGUGAAAGCUUACGGCUCAAGCCGUAACGGGUCGGUGGAUACUGUCAGACUUGAGGGCAGGAGAGGAAAGUGGAAUUCCCAGUGUAGCGGUGAAAUGCGUAGAGAUUGGGAGGAACACCAGUGGCGAAGGCGACUUUCUGGACUGCAACUGACGCUGAGGCGGCAAAGCUGGGGGAGUGAACGGGAUUAGAUACCCCGGUAAUCCCAGCCGUAAACGAUGGGUACUAGGUGUAGGAGGUAUCGACCCCUUCUGUGCCGGUGAUAACGCAAUAAGUACCCCGCCUGGGGAGUACGGUCGCAAGACUGAAACUCAAAGGAAUUGACGGGGGCCCGCACAAGCGGUGGAGCAUGUGGUUUAAUUCGACGCAACGCGAAGAGCCUUACCAGGGCUUGACAUCGUACGAAACACUUAGAGAUAAGUGCCUUUCUUCGGAAACGUAUAGACAGGUGGUCCAUGG
rnacentral:rRNA from 1 species